rnacentral:tRNA from 1 species
ACACACGUGGUGUAGUGGUAACACUCCUGUCUAGUGAGUAGGAGUCGUGAGUUCGAGGAUCACCGAGAAUA